rnacentral:rRNA from 1 species
CAGUAGCCACGGGAAUACGGAGGGUGCAAGCGUUAAUCGGAAUUACUGGGCGUAAAGCGCACGCAGGCGGUCUGACAAGUCAGAUGUGAAAUCCCCGGGCUUAACCUGGGAACUGCAUUUGAAACUGUCAGGCUGGAGUCUUGUAGAGGGGGGUGGAAUUCCAGGUGUAGCGGUGAAAUGCGUAGAGAUCUGGAGGAAUACCGGUGGCGAAGGCGGCCCCCUGGACAAAGACUGACGCUCAGGUGCGAAAGCGUGGGGAGCAAACAGGAUUAGAUACCCCAGUAGUCCCUGUCUAUUAUAC